GACGAACGCUGGUGGCGUGCUUAACACAUGCAAGUCGAACGGAAAGGCCCUGCUUUUGUGGGGUGCUCGAGUGGCGAACGGGUGAGUAACACGUGAGUAACCUGCCCUUGACUUUGGGAUAACUUCAGGAAACUGGGGCUAAUACCGGAUAGGAGCUCCUGCUGCAUGGUGGGGGUUGGAAAGUUUCGGCGGUUGGGGAUGGACUCGCGGCUUAUCAGCUUGUUGGUGGGGUAGUGGCUUACCAAGGCUUUGACGGGUAGCCGGCCUGAGAGGGUGACCGGCCACAUUGGGACUGAGAUACGGCCCAGACUCCUACGGGAGGCAGCAGUGGGGAAUAUUGCACAAUGGGCGGAAGCCUGAUGCAGCAACGCCGCGUGCGGGAUGGCGGCCUUCGGGUUGUAAACCGCUUUCGCCUGUGACGAAGCGUGAGUGACGGUAAUGGGUAAAGAAGCACCGGCUAACUACGUGCCAGCAGCCGCGGUGAUACGUAGGGUGCGAGCGUUGUCCGGAUUUAUUGGGCGUAAAGGGCUCGUAGGUGGUUGAUCGCGUCGGAAGUGUAAUCUUGGGGCUUAACCCUGAGCGUGCUUUCGAUACGGGUUGACUUGAGGAAGGUAGGGGAGAAUGGAAUUCCUGGUGGAGCGGUGGAAUGCGCAGAUAUCAGGAGGAACACCAGUGGCGAAGGCGGUUCUCUGGGCCUUUCCUGACGCUGAGGAGCGAAAGCGUGGGGAGCGAACAGGCUUAGAUACCCUGGUAGUCCACGCUGUAAACGGUGGGUACUAGGUGUGGGGUCCAUUCCACGGGUUCCGUGCCGUAGCUAACGCUUUAAGUACCCCGCCUGGGGAGUACGGCCGCAAGGCUAAAACUCAAAGGAAUUGUCGGGGCCCCGCACAAGCGGCGGAGCAUGCGGAUUAAUUCGAUGCAACGCGUAGAACCUUACCUGGGUUUGACAUGGAUCGGGAGUGCUCAGAGAUGGGUGUGCCUCUUUUGGGGUCGGUUCACAGGUGGUGCAUGGCUGUCGUCAGCUCGUGUCGUGAGAUGUUGGGUUAAGUCCCGCAACGAGCGCAACCCUUGUUCACUGUUGCCAGCACGUUAUGGUGGGGACUCAGUGGAGACCGCCGGGGUCAACUCGGAGGAAGGUGGGGAUGACGUCAAGUCAUCAUGCCCCUUAUGUCCAGGGCUUCACGCAUGCUACAAUGGCUGGUACAGAGAGUGGCGAGCCUGUGAGGGUGAGCGAAUCUCGGAAAGCCGGUCUCAGUUCGGAUUGGGGUCUGCAACUCGACCUCAUGAAGUCGGAGUCGCUAGUAAUCGCAGAUCAGCAACGCUGCGGUGAAUACGCUCCCGGGGCU
rnacentral:rRNA from 1 species